CCUCAGGGGCUCUGAGGGGAGCGCGGCUCCCAGCAGCCCCGCUCCGCCCGCACAGGAGACACAAACAUGGAGCACGAUAGAAAAUUUCGAUAGCUAAACCGAAUUGUAUUUUUAUAUCUUUUAUUGUAAAGAAAGCAAGCAAGCAGUGCUGGGUGGCCAGGGAGUCACUGCUCUACUCACGGCAUACACCACUUAAAACUUCAGCAAAGUAUAUACUGGUUUUAGGCCUACAAAGCAUUUUCCAAUGUGUUUAGUUAGUCCAAAUCAGCAAAUAUCAAUAAGCUGAGAUCAACAAUUUCAUAAUCUUUCCAGAUAGUCAUUGGCUUCCUGUCCUUUUUGUGGUCAUCUGGAGGGAGGCCUUAGACUGGUAUCUACUCCUGAUUUUGUUAAGUGCAUCAAGCUUUUUAUUAUACAUAAGCAUUUAGUUGCUUUGUUGCAAUAUCUCUUAGCUUUACCACAGCUUCUUCUCUUUUAUUCUAAGCAUCAGUUAGGCAAUCACAAAUCAUAUGAAAUUUCAAGACCAAGAGCAAUUGCCAGAUUCUCCACCUGGGAUGGAGUAAUCCUAUACCUACAGAGAAAUCGGAGAAUGAGAAAUCUGUGAGUUUCAAUCCAUGGCAAGUUGAAUAUGAAUUAACAGUGUGUCCUUGCAGCCAAAAGGGCCAAGAGUAUCCUGAGGUGCCUCGGGCACUGCAUGGAGGUGAUUGUCCACUCCACUCUGCGCUGGUGUGGCCUCACCUCGCGUGCUCUGUACAGUUUCAGGCACUACAAUAAAAGAAGUCUAUAAAGAUAUUCGGCUGUGUCCAGAGGACAGUGACCAAGAUGGAGAAAUAUCUUGAGGGGAGCACCUAUGAGGAGGGGCUGAGGGGGCACUUGUUCUGUUCAGCUCAGAAAAAGAAGGGUGAGGGGUGAUUUAAUCACAGUCUACAACUUUGGAAAAGGGGGCAGCAGGAGGGCAACAGAGGUGUAGACACUGAUCUUCUCUUUCUGGUGACCAUCCAAAGAACCCAAGGAAAUGGAAUGGUGUUGCAUCAGACAAGUCCAGACUGGGCAUCAGGAGAAACUUCACUGGGAGGGUGAUCAGUCACUGGACUAGAAUCAGGAAAAUGGUUGCUGCAUUAAGCCUAUCAGAGUUCAGAGGGUGUCUGGACAAUGCUUUCAGUCAUAUGGUUUUAUUUUAGGAAGUACUGUGAGGAAUAGGGUGUUGGACUUGAUGAUUCACAUGGGUCCCUUCCAAUUUUUGAGAUAUUUGAGAUAUUCUAUUAUUUGAGAUAUUCUAUGAUUCUGGAAGAAUCAUGGGUGGAAGAGAUAGAGAGACAAACUUGCUAUGUAUGAAACCUGCCUUGAGUCAGACAAUGUGCAUAAUGGGUACUGUUCCAGGUGACAGCAAUGGAUCGUCAAUUGUCAAAUAUGACAUGUCUCAAACUCAUGUGUUACUUCAUAACUUUACCUUCAAGCAAUUUGAUUUCUGAUACUUAUAUAAAGUCACAAGUAAUUUUAAUAAAUGACAAAAAUCAAUUUUACCCAAAGCCUAUCAAACAUCCACUACUUCCAUUUAUCUUUAUGAAACUCCCUCCAUACAGCUGCAUCUCUGCACGCUUCAUAACAAAAAUCACUUUCCAUGUCAGCAUCUACUAAUGAAUCUUCUUUAAUUGCUGACAGCAGAAUGCACAACAUCAGUUUCUUCUGUGAAGCCAAAUCCAGCUCAUGUUGCUCAUUCUUCAUAGCUGCUAAAGUAAAUGGCAAGCACAGCAGCCACAAUGAUUUGGUACAUCAAGUUUAAGCUGAUGUUCCAGAGACUGCACCAGAACCUGACUACCCAAUACCAGGUGUUAAGCCUGGUUAACACCAUGACCCAACCAGCACAAGCUGGAAAAUAUGGAUGUUAUGUAAUUCUCCAGGCCAAAUCAAACCUCUCAGAAGUUUUGUGCUGUACUUGAGGAAGAUCACAAAGUUCAGAACUAUUCUUAUUUUUCUCAGCUGUUUGCUUGCUAAUUGGUGUCAAGUCAGCUUUGUUUAAGCACAGUGUCUUUCCUCAUGGAGAAACUCCCAGCCCUGUGAUUCUCCUUCUUCUGUGAGAGCUGCUCCAUGGUACCCCAGGAAUGAACAUCAUGUUGAGUAUUUCUGUUUGUGACUGUGUUCUCCUUAAAAAUUACAGAAUAUGAGUGAGAAGUUGCAAAUAGCAAAAUUGUGUCUAGUUUAAAGCACUGGGAAUUCUGGUACUUCUGAAUGCAUUCAAGAUAUCAAGUAAUCCACAGCAAAGUAUAUGACACAGGUCGAGACUCUGCUUUACAAGUUGUAAGGCCCUGGCUACCUGGGGUAAAAUAGUCACCACAGGCUCUGUGUGCUCUGCUUGCACCAUUUGGAGCUACAAUGAGUACUGGAAAUCAUGCCUGGAUCAUGCCAUCUUUCAUUUUUGCUGUCAUCUUGGCUGUAUGUCAAACUCCCCAUGACAAAGUGGAAAUAUAUCUGUUCCCCUUCAUUAUUUCUUUCCUUACAAGCAUAUGCAUGCAAACAAAGACAAAGUAAAACUUCCUCCUAGUAAGGAUGCUAAGCAUCAUACUAUGUUUCAGUUCUACACAUUGAUUUUCUUGUGUGUCCUUCCAAUUUCACCUGAGUAAAUUGAUCACCACUAUACCUUACUAGGCUAGGAAUCAGCUCCAGGUUGACUGGAAAGCUGCAAUAAAAUAAAAAAUGAAAGGCAUUUACUUGUAUUAUGAACAAUAAAUAUUUCAUUAAAAUUCCUCCCAUCCCUCAGCUCCCUUCUGGAUGGAUUAACCAUGUCACCCAUGCUGUUUGCUGAUAUGUUGUCUCUGAUGUCUGAAGCAGGAAGAAAUGGAAUCAAGCACUCCCAGAGAAUCACUUGACUACAGUCAAGUGACAGAUUACAGCCAUCAAGAGAUUUUCUCAUCAGAUAUAGUAACCAGCCACCUUGAAAAUAGUUAAUAAAACAACUUGACAAGAAAUCCACAUUAGUACUUCGAUUUCACAGAAGCAAGCCCAUUUGCUAGUAUGCCUACAGCCAUUUCAGUCUUAAUUCCAAAGUCCCCACAUUAUAGUAUACCCUCCUUCACUAACAUUCUUGUAUCUUUUAAGAAAACCAUCUCACUUCCUCACUUUCCUUAACACUAGUCAUUCCAGUGAUCACAGAUAAAACUAUAUCAAGUUUAUAAAUUUUUAUGUACUGUACAUGAUGAUAAAGUUCCUUGGUGCACAUCAAAAACAUACUGGGAAAAACAGUCUGGAUUAUUCCCAGCUCAGGCAAAGGCAAAAUCAUCCAUGGGAUUGCUUUUGCUCACAAACUCAAUGCACUUGGUGGGUAAUACAGGAGGAUGGGGAAAUCUGGUGUGUGCCUAAUGGGAAUUCGAUUUUGGUGAAAUACAAAAAUUAGUUAAAUUGCAUUAUGUUAAUAAUUAUCCAACACUGUGCAUUACCACAUCAGUGGUGGCUACAUGUGCAUCACCUCCCUGAGCAGCUCACGGCAUCGAUCUUAACCACAGUCAUUCUGGGCAUCCCAGCCUGAUUUGCCUCUGACCACUGCAUCCCCACCAGUGAAGAAUAAUGGACUUUGAUAAAACUGAAAAAGCACAGCUGCACUGAAAUCACAACUGAGUCAAAUGUGCAGCAUGCCACAAUCCAACACCUUACAUCGUCUUUCCUGCCUAAGAGACAGUCACCAAGGAUAAAGGACAAAAGUAAAGGACUAAAUUAAUUCAACAAACUGUGUGUGUGUGUGUGUGUGAACAUUUGACACACACCUUCCAUAGAUUAAGAGAAUGGUGUUUGUAUAUCUAUCAAAACAGAUAAAUAGGAAAGGUGAUGGGAUAUUGAGGAAUGUGAAAUUUGUCAUAACAUAAAUGGUAUGGAGUAAAGGGUGGAUAUUGUCCUGGUUUCAGCAAGGGUAGUGUUAAUGUCUUCCCAGUAGCUGUUACAUGCUGUGUUCUGCUUUUGGAAUGAGAAUGGUGUUGAUAACACACUGAUGAUUUGGGUUUUCCUACAUCAUGUUUAUCCUAAGGUCUCUUUUAGGUUUAUCAAGGUCUCUUAGGUCUCCUCAGGUUUAUCAAGGUCUCUUUUUUCCCUUUGUCUCAUGUUCUGCCAGUGAGGAGGUACACAAGAGAAACUGGCAGGGAGCACAGGCAGGACAGGUGGUCUGAACUGACCGAAGGGAUGCUCCACACAGCAGAGCAUCAUGCCCAGGAUAUAAACUGGGAGAACUUGCCCAGAAUGUGGCUGAUCUGGGCUGGGGAAAGGGGGUCGGUCUGGCAUCGGUCAGCUGGUGGUGAGCAAUUGCCUUGUGCUUCAUUUGAUUAUUUCCUUAUCAUUAUUUAAAAUUAUUGUUGAAUUUUACUUAAUUUUCAAUUAUUAAACUGCUCUUAACAUAGGAGUUUUAUUUUGAUUCUCCUCUCCGUUCCACCAGGGUGGGGGAGGAGAGGGGAGGGAGUUGAAUGAGGGGCUGAGUGGUGUUUAAUUUCCACCUGGGCUUAAACCAUGACAACAGCACACCAGUAAAGAUUUUUCAAUAAGCAAAAGUUUUUCAUAUCCAUCACAGAAUCAGUUUGCAAGGAGAUGUAACUAACUUUAUUAGAGCAGAUGGUGCAAUUAAGAAAAAAGAAGCCUGGAUACAAUGUAAAAAUUGAACAUUUCUCAUUUGGGGCAAUAAAUACAUUAGUUUAACUUUUUGAAUUACAUUGACCCUUAAACAAAUUCUGGAAAAUUAAGAUUGUCAAAAGUGACAAUGAAUUUCUGAUUUCACUGAAAAGAAAUGUGUUAGUGGACCAGAAUAAAAUAUUUUUAUUAAUGGGAACAUUUUUAGUUUUCCAUUUAUAUUCUGAUUCUGAAUGAAAAAAUAAAAUACCUGGUAAAUCAAUUCCUAUACAGCUCUUCCUGUCCUAAUUCAACAAUAUCAGGAAAUGUAUAUACAAAACCCACUAAAACGGAAAAGAAUAUUAUUUUGCUUUUUUAGUCUUAAAAAAUAAGCUAUAUUUCAGUUCACCUUGAAACAGAGUGAUAGGUUGUUAUUGUUUUUAAAUGAAAGCAUGAAAAUUCAAGAAAAUAAUCAGUAAGAAAACUGAGGCCUGACCUGUUUGUUGCACAAGGGCAGGAGAAGCUGCAGAGAGGGAGUAACAGUAAUAAUAAAGUGAUAAGCCACAUUCUAAGCAGCAAAAGGUGAAUCACUUUCUUUGUCAGUCACAAAAUGGUAAGGACAAACAAGACAUUCACUAGCACCAACUUCUCUGAAAAGUUUGAAAGAUCUGAAAAUUGAUGGUGCUCUGAGAUUCAGGCUAUAGGAAACUGAGAAUAUUAAAAACAAACAAGAAUAGAAAGUGGAGGAGUUUUGGCUGACAUUUUCAGAAAUGCAUUUAGUACGGGAAAGAGUCUCUUUGGAGUAGAAAGUAACUAACAUAACCUUUUAGAAAAAGAGUCAAGGGACCCGACAGGAAAAUACAGAGCAGUCAUAUUCACAAUCUACUUUCGGAGAUCAAAAGGAAGAAUAGUUAAAAUAGCCAGACUUCUCUUGCUUCAAAUGCAUCCUUUGUUAAGACUUCUUUGAAGAUCCCUCUGACAUGCUGCUCAUGAGAGAUGCAGCCCUUAGCUAAGAUGUCCUAGUGCACUUGAUAACACAGCCCACCAGCAACAAAUGUCUAAUGUGAAGAAAGAAGCAUCACCAGAUAAGGCAGAAAGUGGAACAAUGGGAUAAGAAUAGCAAGUAGUCAUAAACAAAUCCUUUGCCUGCUGAAAAGAAUGUCUGCAUACCUUAGAGAUCAGUGUUAGAACCAGCUCAUUGCUUCAUCAACAAGUAAAUAGAAAAAUAAAGAAUUGAAAUAGUUUAUAUGUCUUGUACAAUAGCAGCAGAAAAUGCACAUUAAGACUGAAAAAAACAAAGUAUGUUAACAGUGAUUUAGUCUCUGAUGUACCUGCCCUGGAAAUUGUAUGCAAAGUAUAUUUCACCUUCUGCCAGAUAAGUUACAAAUAAACCCUAGUGACAUCAGAUAAAACAGCACAAAUGUUUGCAGAUGUCUCUUCAGAACUCAGCUAAGGUAGGUAGUUUGUGGGUUUCUAAUUUUUGGCACAGAUCCUCAGCUGAUAUAAGCUGCCUCAGGUCUAUUGAAGUCGAGAUGCCAAAAGUUAAAGCUAAGCACAUAGUUAA